rnacentral:sRNA from 1 species
UUUUGCGGGGAGUUUGUUAAAAGAAACUGGCAUGGUGAAUCCCCCUGUGCGGAGGGGCAAUCAGCGAGUAGGUAUAUGGGAUAAUCGCGGAUUCAGGUGCUGGUACUGAAUUCACCGGGAGGCACCCGGCACCAUGCAGUUGACUGAAACCAUGUAUACUCUCAGGCCCCACGCACAUGUGUUGGGGCCUUUUUACAUGC